UACGUAGGGUGCAAGCGUUGUCCGGAAUUAUUGGGCGUAAAGAGCUCGUAGGCGGUUUGUUGCGUCGGCUGUGAAAUCCCGAGGCUCAACCUCGGGUCUGCAGUCGAUACGAGCAAACUAGAGUGUUGCAGGGGAGACUGGAAUUCCUGGUGUAGCGGUGAAAUGCGCAGAUAUCUGGAGGAAUACCGGUGGCGAAGGCGGCAUCCUGGACCGACAUUGACGCUGAGGAGCGAAAGCUAGGGGAGCAAACGGG
rnacentral:rRNA from 1 species